GGGUGAUGCGGCCACCCAGACGAUAUCGCCAGAGCAAGAAUGCUUGUACAAGAAAAGACGUCGAGAAUCAAGCCCAUAAUUAUUUGUCAUUUUUUGGUACAUUUGACGGUAAGACACGCAAGAAUAAAGGAAUAUGAUUCCCUAAGUUACAGCCAAAGAUCAGCAUAAAACCAUCACCACCCAUAAACAAAUAUAAGUCACUCUCACGUAGAUUAUUUUCAACCUUGAACUCAAUAUUCUUCUUUAUCAGUUUUUCAACUAAAGAAUCAAAAGUUUUUAGCCGGUAUCACACCAGCAUCCACCACUAAUCAACUUACCACCUUUUACAGGUUUACUAGGGAGAUCAAAAGCUUGGAAAGAUGGUUAUGUAGUAACACAUUCAAGGUCCAUGAGAUGUAAUGCUACACUUAAGUUAUUUUGUUUGAUU
rnacentral:lncRNA from 1 species